GAUUGUGAGUUUUUUUAAUGAAAUAUAUCAACAUUCGGAAAAUCUGCCUAACUUAGUAAUCAAUACAAAUGAUACAGGACAUUAAAAUGCAUGAAUGGUUGUAAAAGAUGCAUUUAAAGUAUAAGAUAAAGAGAUUUUAAGUAACAGAGUACAAAAAGCUCAUUCCUAUUGUUUUAGAUCCACCAUUACAACUUAAGUUUAAAAAAACUAUUAUUUGUCAAGUUUUGACAUAGUAUCACAGAAGACUAUCUAAAAAGACUAUUAAAAUACUUCUCUAUUUCCCAAUUAUGUAUCUGUUUGAAGCCAGAUUUUCUUUAUAUACUUCAAUCAAAACAAUAGAAUGAUGAAGCAGCUAUGAGAAUCCAACUGUCUUAUAUUAAGCCAGAUAGUGGAGAUUUGCAAAAAUGGAAAACAAUGCCACAUUUCACAAAAAUGGUGACAAGUCCUUGCGUUUAUUAUUAUUUUAAAUUAAUUAAUAAAUAUUCUAAAACUUUUUUGGUCAGCUUUUAUUUCUAAUAUGGUCUAUUGAUAGAUAUAACCCAUAUAAACACGUUUUUUGAAGUCCUCAACAAUUUUUAAGAGCGUAUAGAGGGACUUCACACCAAAAAGUUUGAGAACCAUUUACACAGAGAAGUAUGAAGGUACUGAAUCCUUCUUCUGGAAACUUGGUCUCUCAGACAGGUGAACACUUGUUCUGUGUUGUGGGAAGGAGGUUAGCAAGAGCAUGCUGCAGACUCACGUUGACUCAGGUCAAGCUCCUACCUCUGAAGUUCUUCGCUAUGUUGUCUUGGAUAGUUGAAACCAUAACAAGCGUAGGUUGGAGAAGUAUGUCUUAGGAUGUCAAAACCUGAAACAUCUGUCAUCUUCUGAUCCAAACAGCUUAUGUUUAAAAUAGAAAGGUAAAAUUGAAAUUGACAAUCGUAUGUUAUUCAAUUGGUUGAAACAAGCUAUAGCUUGUUGGUGAAACUGAAUCUCCCGUCUCCAAAUAUGAUGCUUAUUAAUCAAUACUAGAUGGCUAGUAGCCGUAAUUCAGGCCUGGAAUCCAGAAAGGAAUUUUGUGAGGAAAUAUUUUGCUUUUGCUUUAUGGGCCAUGAAUUACAAGUUCAAGGGAACAAACAACAAAUGUGUUUUUGAUUAAUAAAGAAACACAGUUUUACUAAAUGUUUUCACUGCUUGAACCAUUAGCACAGGAACAGUUAAGCACUACUAAGCAAUAAUCAGCAAGCCUGCAUUACAUAUAAUAUUCAUGGAAGUUUAGAGUGGAUGUUAAGUGCCCCUGUGGGGUCCCACAGCCAGACACUUGACACUCCAUGAUGUCCACCCUCCCCCUAAAUCAGUUUAAUCCACAUUAUAUGUAAGAGUACAUCAGUUAGACAAUAUAUUUUAAAUUACAGGUUAGCAUUUAAAAACUACCGUACAACUAAAAAUCAAGAAGCAGGAGUCUGAUUAAGUGGAUGAAAUUGUGCUCUGAAACUUAAGCCAGUUUCUCAAGAGUUGAACCACCUAAGGCAGGGUUCAAACAAAGGCUGAAGCCCUGAAGGUUUGUAGGGGAGAAUUAGUAAGUGGGUUUCCCCGAGCAGUGUGAAGUCAUCAGGCAAGGUAAUGCUUCCCAGAGGUGUAACCGCUGUGGGGGGGUCGGGGGGCGGAAACGCGUAGUACUUUGCAGGUCGGCCCCCGGGGACCGGGCUGGCUGACUACCUAGUAUUGCAAUAAAAUUCUUGCCCUCAAAUCACAUCCCCCAACACUACACCCUGCGCGACGUGUUGAAAAGCAUCGCUCCCAGUUUACUCGACUUUUCUGUUUUGACCUGUUCAUUAUUGUCCCAGAUAUGUAAUAAGGAGCAGGAACCCAGUUUUCAAGGCCUAUCGAGCGCGAAAGAAGUCCAACCUCAGAGGAACCCUGGAAG
ensembl:lncRNA